rnacentral:RNase_P_RNA from 1 species
GAGGAAAGUCCGGGCUCCAUAGGGCAGGGUGCCAGGUAACGCCUGGGGGGCGCAAGCCUACGACCAGUGCAACAGAGAGCAAACCGCCGAUGGCCCACGCAAGUGGGAUCAGGUAAGGGUGAAAGGGUGCGGUAAGAGCGCACCGCGCGUCUGGCAACAGUUCGCGGCACGGUAAACUCCACCCGGAGCAAGGCCAAAUAGGGGUUCACAAGGUACGGCCCGUACUGAACCCGGGUAGGCUGCUUGAGCCAGUGAGCGAUUGCUGGCCUAGAUGAAUGACUGUCCACGACAGAACCCGGCUUA